AGGGCACAUUGUUGCCUGUUACUGAUGCAGAAUCAGGGAGCAUUUGUUUGUGGCCAUGAACUGCACUGCUCUCAGCUGCUGCAAAGCCCUGCAGCAUGGACACCCUGGAAAUGGCAUCUUCAGCAAAAGCUGGCUUACAAAGGAGUGGCACAUAAACCAAGAGCACUUUUGAGAAGAACCUUCUUUAUAAGCUCUAGAGGAGGAGUCCUAGUCUUCUUUCUAAUCCUGUGAACAAGAAAAUAAUCUGGAACCCUGAAGUUGGUAAACUUGGGAGGGAACCUGUGAAAUAAGGAACUGAAUAAAACAGAAUAGUUUGAAGACAGAGCAGCAUUCACACCAAGCAGUCCCCAGGCUGCCGGGUGCCCUUGCCAGGACUGCCGCAGCUGAGCACAGGUCGGUGUUGCCACCUGGUGGCACGGGACAGCGGCACUGCCACUUGGAAAUGGGACUGCCAGGCCAGCAAAGACACGCAUCGCAACUGAUAUCUACGACACAUUUUAUUAUUUGAGCUGUUGCUUUCUACAGAAUCAAUGCUUUACUGCUAGCAGCAGAUCACCAUCCCCACGGUGCGUUCAUAUGGUUCCAUUUCACCAACACUGAGUUCCUUGGUCGGUGUGACAGUGCCAGCUGCUUACCAAGGGGCUCAGAAGGUCUUUGAAGGCUCCUCUUUUUUCAUCAGGUGCCUCCAUAAUCCUCUCACGCCCUUUCUAGUUAUCAGCCAUAGCCACUGCUCUUCAGCUGUGGUCUGAGUUACAAACCUGUUGCUAGCAGUGGCCUUGCAUGGAUUUGGCAGAUUCUUGCUGUGUUGAGUUUAUUUGUUCUCAUGAAUUCGCCAGCCUGCUGGGUUACAGGUCCAGCAUUUGUCAGCUCACACAAAGGGGCUUGUACAGCAACUUGGCCUAGAAAGCAAUUCCACAGAAUAUUAAGAUUUAUUUAAGAAGUUACCCAAACCCAGUUAUAUCUGUGCUAGAGAAAUGAAAACUGCUACAGUUUGGAAAAGGUUGAGUAAUCAUUUUCCAAAAUUUUAAAAUCUUAUGGCAUUACCUGGAUAGUAGAAAAAAAUGUCACUGGAUCUGUAUCUUACCAUAUCUUUACAUAUUUCAGCAGUGUUUAAAAUGUACAAGUGGGUAACAGUGAGCCUGCAAUUUCUCUGUUUAAAUCUGACAAGGAAACAUAAUUCUCAUCAUACAGUAUGUUAAGUGCAUCUUUCUGAGAUGGGCAGAGGAGGCCUGCUAAAUUGGGGUGUGGGAGACCACACGUUCAGCUCUGGUGAUUAUAUCUAACACUCUGUAAAAUACAGAGUAAAAAUCUGGGAAAACAAGGAGCUAAGAGCUAAAUCUACAUUGUUAACAGGACAACUAGCCCCUUUCUUCCCAACACAUGAAAAAAAAAGAUAUAUUUGGUAGAAUUUUUCAAAUAUGAUUACAAAAAUCUAGUAUACAAAGUAAGUACAAAAAAAGCACUUCCUACUUUUUAAAAACAAUUUAUUAGAUUAUCACAUGAUAACACUGUUGUGUGACAAAGUGAUUUUUUCAGCCACUCCUGCAGAUCCACAAGGAGUACACAGCAUAGUCUGAGAAGCAGCUAAGAACAUCUUUGCAAAGUGUCAAAUGUAAAUGUGAAGCACACAAGCAAAAAAUAGCCAAAAGAGAUCUUUCAUAAAAGCAGCAGCUCGAUUGUUUUGUACAGCAUGCAAUGUUCCUGUGAAUUCCAACGAAAAAACAAGCUGUGACAAACACUUGAGAGUGUUCUGCAUAAACAGAAGCUUCAGGCAUUUGAAAGUGGAGAAGGCAAGGCAGAUAUUAAAAGUGGUUAGUGCGCUAUUUGCUCUGAAGGUUAAGAACAACCACGUCAUGGACUGGAAUUUUCCCACCUUAGAGACUUUCUCAUAGCUAACGGUAAACUUCAUUUUCUACAGAGCGCUGCUUGGAAAAGCUAUUUGGAGUACUCUUUCAAAACCAGUCACAUCACUGUUCUUGAUUGCUUUAUGAAAAAUAUGCUUCCCAAAGCUUUUAAAAAUAAAUCAUGUGCAAGGGCUACUGCAGAUGCUACGGGCCUUGCUUUUUUGUGGACGAUGUAGCAUACACAGAAGGUGCUAAAUAAUUUGGAACAGGACUGUUACUGCUUUGCAGCUGUUUCACAACAUGAAAAAGGGGAGUUUGGAGCUUAGAUCAUCUAUGAUGGGCCAUAAAGUAGAUGCUGAAUUUCAGAGUAAUCAGGCAGUCAUGGAAACAGUUCAGACAUAUGUUACUGGCACUUCAUUGGAACCAAUGCAUAGAUGGAAUAGAGGUCUCAGAAGUUUUUGUAAAUGCAGCAUAUGAGAUCUGCAAUAACCCAUUUGCUCAGCUUAGUUGUUGAGUUAUGCAAAAAGACUGAUGAUGGUUACUGAGCUUUUCACUGGACUGAAGUAGCAUUUUUUGCUCAUUCUGACCACGGGGCUAAGGUUUCAUUGCUGCCACUGGACAAGAGGUUCAUGCUACUGCCUUUGUAAGUAAUCACCAGGCAACAUGGCUGAUUUGGAACUAUGUUUUUUAAGUCUACCAGCUCAAGGACUGUUUUGGGAUUCUUUAGCAGUAUGAGCAGAAUUAAAGCCUAGUGGCUGAAAAUCUGCAUGUCUUGCCUGGACAGUGCGAUAUGUGCAUUGAGUGACUUCAUUAUUGCAAUUUUCAAAAGAAAUACACAAACACUGCUGAAUUUGAAAUUGCUCAGGAAAAAAAAUUCCUGUAAGCUAUUUUUGCUUUGUGAGCUCCACUGGUACCUCUUAGACCUGCAGACAUGAACAGAUGAUUUUCUCUCUGGGGCGGUUUAGGAAAGCACACUUGCCAUUUGCAGCAGGGUUUGGAGCUGCUGGGAUGAGCCCAAAGCACCGAGGGCAGCAGGGAGAGGGACGGGAUCUCGGCUCUGGUGACACCCCCACCCAGCUCUGGGGUCCCCAGAGGGACAUGGGACAUAUGGGAGCGAUUCCACAGGAGAAGGGCAGGAGGCUGGAGCACGUCUGCUCGCUGUGGGGACAGACUGGGAUGGCGCUGCUCCUGAAUGGGAGGCUCUGGGGACAUCUCACUGAAGACUUCCAGUUCUGCAAGGGGCUCAUAACGUGGGGAGAGCAACUUUUACAUGGGCAGAUAGGACAAAGGGGAACUGUUUUAAACUACAAGAAAAGAUUUGGAUUAAUUAUUAGUAAGAAAUUCUUUAAUGUGAGGGUGAUGAGGCACUGGCACAGGUUUCCCAGAGAAGCUCUGGCUGCCCCUGGAUCCCUGUGUGAAAAAUGCAUGUAUUUUAUGAUUGGCUUUUCGCAAAUAUUAAAAUGAAUAUUAUACGUGUUGUGUAAGAAAGUAAUGCUGUAUUAAUUCUCUUAAGUAGUGUGUUAAAUAUAGUUUUAGGUUAUAAAAAAAUAUUAAAAUAGAAACUAUGCUAUGUAGAAUACUUUUUUAAAAGAAAGGACUUGCAGCGAGAUAGCAGCCACAGGACACCUAAAUCUUUCAGAGAAAAAGAAUUUAUUGCCCUCUUAUCAGAAGAAAGGAACUUCUUCCCUCCUCGAAGCCGCUGUUAGGAUUCAGAGGAAGAAGUUGACCGAUGACCAGACAGAAUCCUGUAUUUGAAUGGAAUUUAUGCAUCAUGUACGAGGUGUAUAAAUAUGCAACAGGCUAUUGCUUUUAAGGGUUAAUCCUUUGUUAACGGGUGUCCUUUUUCGGGUUCGUGCUGCUCAGAAAAAGGUACCCAGACUGUCAGUAACUCUUUGUCUUUAUUGUCUCAUAUUGUUCUAAUUCAAUUUGUCCAAAUUAUUAUUACUCUAAUUGUAUUACUAUUUUUAUAACCAUUUUAUUACUAUUAAACUUUUAAAAUUUUAAAAACAA